UGGCGUCGGGCGUCGGCGUCCAUCAACCUCUAGGCGCUGUGCUAGGCAGCCGAAGCGCAAUGGCGUUCGCGCGUGGAGAUGUUGGAGCGCCGGGGUUUCCCAUUCCCCUCCGCAACCAAAUCGAAGCAGAGCAGCAGCAGAGAAGAGGAGGCUCUACAUUGGAAGGCUCUCUGAAACUUGAUGAGGACAGGUCAGUGCUGCCAUUCAUGCGUAAUUGCAUUCAUUUAUUCUUAUGUCAGGGUAUAGACAUAAAAGACCUUACAGAUUAGAGAUCCUACACCAUGAAUUACAUGUCAAUAUAUAGUUUGAUCAGAUUUUGAGGGUACAGUUGGUUGUGAGCAUGCAAUGCUAUUACACAAUUCUGAAACCUGACAAAAUUCAAGUUGCACAUUCCACUAUCCCAGCAGCAGGAGGUCUCAUGAAAUUCAGACAAUUCAGAAUUUCUUCCACCUAAUGGCAGUUCAUGCAAAGAUGAUGGACAUGGACCGCAAGGGACAAACAUGUUGCCAUGAGUGCUCCCGUCUUUCACUAAACAGUGUAGGUGCACCUUGACACAAACCCGGCCUCUUUCUUUUCAGCUGAGAAGUGGAUGACUUUGUAUACGGGAGGAAGGCUUCGUAGUCGUAGCUAUGCUGGAACGUUCAUUCUUUGGCGCAGAAGCAGCAGGACCUGAAGAUGAGUAAGCCACACUUCCCCCUGAUGGUGCCCUCGCCCUCGCGCGAUGCAGUUCUCGUUGCAUGUAUGGCUACUGCACAGGAGCAGAAUCUGGUAUCUGUCGCUCAGCCACUUGUCACAUGCCGCGUUGGCCCCACAGCCUGAAAGGAAAGCAAAAAAGAGAAAGAAAGAAGAAGAAGUUACCAUCAGUAGUUGCAACUUAAUUUCAUUUGCUACCCAAAAAGAACCACAGACUAGCUUGCAAGCAAUUAAUCUUGUUCUUCUUUUAAGAAAUAAUUAAUCUUGUUCUUUGACAUUGAUGGGUAGAGCGUUCUGUGUAAUUGAGCUCUCUUUGUCUGCAGAUGGACUUACAUGGAGCCAAGAGUAGUGCCAUGAACAGCAGGCUGAGG
rnacentral:lncRNA from 1 species